UACGGGGGGAGCAAGCGUUGUUCGGAUUUACUGGGCGUAAAGGGCGCGUAGGCGGCCUCCGCAAGUCAGUUGUGAAAUCUCCGAGCUUAACUCGGAAAGGUCAACUGAUACUGCGGGGCUAGAGUGCGGAAGGGGCAACUGGAAUUCUGGUGUAGCGGUGAAAUGCGUAGAUAUCAGGAGGAACACCAGUGGCGAAGGCGGUCUC
rnacentral:rRNA from 1 species